rnacentral:rRNA from 1 species
UACAGAGGGUGCGAGCGUUGUUCGGAAUUAUUGGGCGUAAAGGGCGCGUAGGCGGUGCGGUAAGUCACCUGUGAAAUCUCCUGGCUCAACUGGGAGCUUGCAGGCGAAACUGCCGUGCUGGAGUGUGGGAGAGGUGCGUGGAAUUCCUGGUGUAGCGGUGAAAUUCGUAGAUAUCGGGAGGAACACCGGUGGCGAAGGCGGCGACCUGGGUGGAUACUGACGCUGAGGUGCGAAAGCGUGGGGAGCAAACAGG